AAUGUUUGUUUACCGAGGGUUCGAAUCCCUUUCUUUC
rnacentral:tRNA from 1 species